CCUACGGGUCGCAGCAGUGGGGAAUAUUGCACAAUGGGCGCAAGCCUGAUGCAGCCAUGCCGCGUGUGUGAAGAGGGCCUUCGGGUUGUAAAGCGCUUUCAGCGGGGAGGAAGGCGAUAAGGUUAAUAACCUUGUCGAUUGACGUUACCCGCAGAAGAAGCACCGGCUAACUCCGUGCCAGCAGCCGCGGUAAUACGGAGGGUGCAAGCGUUAAUCGGAAUUACUGGGCGUAAAGCGCACGCAGGCGGUCUGUCAAGUCGGAUGUGAAAUCCCCGGGCUCAACCUGGGAACUGCAUUCGAAACUGGCAAGCUAGAGUCUUGUAGAGGGGGGUAGAAUUCCUGGUGUAGCGGUGAAAUGCGUAGAGGUCUGGAGGAAUACCGGUGGCGAAGGCGGCCCCCUGGACAAAGACUGACGCUCAGGUGCGAAAGCGUGGGGAGCAAACAGGAUUAGAUACCCGUGUAGUC
rnacentral:rRNA from 1 species